CGCCCUUAGAGUUUGAUCAUGGCUCAGAUUGAACGCUGGCGGCAGGCUUAACACAUGCAAGUCGAGCGGUAGGAGAGCUUGCUCUCUACGAGCGGCGGACGGGUGAGUAAUGUCUGGGAAACUGCCUGAUGGAGGGGGAUAACUACUGGAAACGGUAGCUAAUACCGCAUAAUGUCGCAAGACCAAAGAGGUUCGUCUUGCCAUCAGAUGUGCCCAGAUGGGAUUAGCUAGUAGGUGGGGUAAUGGCUCACCUAGGCGACGAUCCCUAGCUGGUCUGAGAGGAUGACCAGCCACACUGGAACUGAGACACGGUCCAGACUCCUACGGGAGGCAGCAGUGGGGAAUAUUGCACAAUGGGCGCAAGCCUGAUGCAGCCAUGCCGCGUGUAUGAAGAAGGCCUUAGGGUUUAAAGUACUUUCAGCGAGGAGGAAGGCGUUGUAUAAUUGCAACGAUUGACGUUACUCGCAGAAGAAGCACCGGCUAACUCCGUGCCA
rnacentral:rRNA from 1 species